CAAAUCCGGUGCUAAGAGCAAGGUACGAUACUCGGACGGAGUUUUGCGUCGAACCAACUGGGUGGGCAAUGUGCUUGAAGAUACCAUCCUGCAGAUAUUUGCCAAUGGGGAGAUGGAUGUGUUUGUAAACAUAGUCAAGGUUGAAGUUGUUCCAAGCUACUCUGCACUGAAGGUUUGGUGGGAGGCGAGCGGAGUGCAGGAAAAAGACAAACAAACUCAACAGCUCCUUGAAACACAGGCUGGCAAACUCAGGCACUUGUUACUUCAGUCUCAGGUGUGUGGGCGCGUGCCUCCGGUCGUGUUCAUGAGGGAUAUCAGCGUAGC